GAAAACCCGAGGCAGAAGAAACACAGUGACACAUCUGAGGUGAUCUGAUAAGCGGGAGGCACUUCCUCCAGGAACUCUGUUGGGUAAGGUCCAAUUGCUACUGUUGCAGGUGAAGGUGGAGAGGACCAACAUCUAUUAUGCACCAGCUGUGUGCCAGGCCUGUACGAACACUCCAACACGGACUCCUAUGCAGUUGAUGGUUCCUGCAUCCUGGCUCUGAUCUGCAUGUUCCAGCUCUCCUACGCUUCCGGACUCGCCCUUGGUUUCUUCCGCUCGGCUCCGGAUCCUCCCUCCAGGACGAGGCCCAGAUCCGCCUCCUUCUUCUUGCUGCUUUGGACGGCCUUGGGAGGCAUGCCUGGCCUCAGAUGGCCCUCAGCCGGGUUGAGGAAAGGGUGGGAGGCCCAAGCAGAAGAGGCUGUGAUCUCCCUGGGCCCAGAGUCGAAGCUGAUACUGCUCCUAAUGCCCUGGGUCUCAGCCACUCCCACCCCCUGGUUGUUGACCAAUAGCCUGGUCUGACGCUAAAGCCGAAGAAUUUCCAUUCAGUUGGGACCUAGGGUUGGGGGGGGGGGGCUUCUCUGCCAGUAAGUGACAUUCUCUGCUACUGAAAGGCCUCACGUUCCUGUCCCACUAAGCCUGGGGUGGCCACCACGUGACAGCACCAGGGAACACAUGUCUUCUGGGACCAUUUCUGAGCUGAGCAGCUGGCAAGUUUGUUUCUCCAUGUCCCCUGGGGCAAGGGCAGGGGUGGGGGCAGUGAUAAUGAACCGGGGUUCUGGCCUCGCUGUGCGGAGCGUGGUCCCCGCUGCCCAGCCCGAUAUGGCACGGACAGCUGGAAAAACUGACCAUGUGGCUUGACUAUCUCAGAGGAUUGCUCUAUUUUUCCUCCGCAUAAUUUUUCCAUGAAUAAUCUUUAAAGCUCUUUAAGUGGC